GACGAACGCUGGCGGCGUGCCUAAUACAUGCAAGUCGACCUGAGUGGCGAACGGGUGAGUAACACGUUGGUCACCUGCCCAUCAGAAGGGGAUAACACUUGGAAACAGGUGCUAAUACCGUAUACUGAUGGAUGGACCCGCGGUGCAUUAGCUAGUUGGUGAGGUAACGCCUCACCAAGGCCACGAUGCAUAGCCGCCCUUGGAGGGUGAUCGGCCACUUUGGGACGGAGACCCGGCCCGACCUCCUACGGGAGGCAGCAUUGGGUAAUCUUCGGCAAUGGACGAAAGUCUGACCGAGCAACGCCGCGUGAGUGUAGAAGGUUUUCGGUUCGUAAGCCUCUGUUGUUAGGGAUGCGGUAUCUAACCAGAAAGCCACGGCUAACUACGUGCCAGCAGCCGCGGUAAUAC
rnacentral:rRNA from 1 species